AAACACGGACCAAGGAGUCUAACAUGUGCGCGAGUCAUUGGGUUGACUCUAAACCUAAAGGCGCAAUGAAAGUGAAGGUCCCGCCUCGUGCGGACCGAGGGAAGAUGGGGCGCGCUCCUGCGCGGCUCCCGCAUUCCCGGGGCGUCUCGUACUCACUGCGAGUUGAGGCGCACCCAGAGCGUACACGUUGGGACCCGAAAGAUGGUGAACUAUGCCUGGCCAGGACGAAGUCAGGGGAAACCCUGAUGGAGGUCCGUAGCGAUUCUGACGUGCAAAUCGAUCGUCGGAGCUGGGUAUAGGGGCGAAAGACUAAUCGAACCAUCUAGUAGCUG
rnacentral:rRNA from 1 species